rnacentral:rRNA from 1 species
UACAGAGGUCUCAACCGUUGUUCGGAUUCAUUGGGCGUAAAGGGUGCGUAGGCGGUCGCGCAAGUCGGAUGUGAAAUCUCAGGGCUCAACCCUGAAACUGCAUUCGAUACUGCGGCGCUUGAGGACUGGAGAGGAGACUGGAAUUCAUGGUGUAGCAGUGAAAUGCGUAGAGAUCAUGAGGAAGACCAGUGGCGAAGGCGGGUCUCUGGACAGUUCCUGACACUGAGGCACGAAGGCCAGGGGAGCAAACGGG